UACGAAGGGGGCUAGCGUUGCUCGGAAUCACUGGGCGUAAAGGGUGCGUAGGCGGAUCUUUUAAGUCAGGGGUGAAAUCCUGGAGCUCAACUCCAGAACUGCCUUUGAUACUGAGGAUCUCGAGUUCGGGAGAGGUGAGUGGAACUGGCGAGUGUAGAGGUGAAAUUCGUAGAUAUUCGCAAAGAACACCAGUGGCGAAGGCGACUACCUGGCC
rnacentral:rRNA from 1 species